CUGCCUUCCAUAAGAAGUAAUGCAUUAUAUUGACUCUGACUUAGUUUAAUUUAGCUGAUUUAGCUUAGGAAAUACUGCCACCGUGUGGGCGUUAUGUGCAACUGCGCUAACUGCGUAAGUUAAGCUUCCUGUUUAGUUUCCUACUCUUGUAUUCAGUGAAUUGCCACGAGUUUCAUUGCUGCAUUUACGUUCGACAUACACACUGGAGCCUUGGACAUUAUUUGUCUGGUGCUGCAGUGAGCAUGGCUGGUCUGACUGCAGGUGGUUUGGUGAUGGGGCUCUUCACCUGACUCCACACCCCCAUAUUAGUGAGCGGAUGACACACAGCCAACAAUGGCUGAGUCAUCGGAGAACUUCUGGAGGUGACAUCUGCUGGUGUUGUAGGCGAAGUCUGAAGUUUGGAAGGUGAAGAGGAAAGCUGAGAGCACACGAUUCUCACAGCACUACAAACUCAGCACUCACCUGGAGAGUGGAGGAACACACAGUGAGACGCCGCAUCACCAAAGAAGCGAAACAACGGAUCGCCAGCACCCCGCUGAGGACAACGUGUCAAAUGUUUAAGUGGACUAUUAAUUUUCCAACUCCGAAGAACCGGAGCAACUCACAGUAAGAGGCUUAUGUCUGGGCGGACACAUUAUUAAGGCGGAGGAAUUAUUAAGGCAGAUGCAUUAUUAAGGCAGAGACAGUGUAAAGUAGGGUUAUUUACACAUGAUUUUCUUUAACUUAUAUGUGCUGCAAUCAUUUAACUUUUGUUACUAGCAUUAAGAUAGAGUUGCUAACGUGUGACUCUCGUUUAUAUGUGCUGCAAUCAUUUAAUUUGUGUACUGGUAUUAUUAAGAUAGAGUUGCUAAUGUGUGACUUUCUCUUGUAAGUGCCACACUCAUUUAAUUUUUGUUACCGAUCAUCCAAAUCCAUCAGUUCCGUGAGCUUGCGCGUCACCAGUUAAAAGACCAAUAUCUGAGCAGAUAAACUCCGGUUUACUGACUCCACUAUUGUGUGGUGAUAGUGUGAGACUCAAAAGAACUGAGGUGGUGAUCUUUGCUGGGUUCUUAAUUCUUUAAGUUCCUCUUCUAUCUUUAUCUCUAUCUCACAUUUUUACAUGGGCAUGAGUCCGAGCAUGCGAUCACGAAUCUCCUCGCGAGACAUGUGACGCUCAAGGAUCUUUGCCUUUGUAGUCAUUGUUUGCUACGUCAGCCACGUUAUGUGGGCAAUCGCCAUCUUGGCUCUGAGCUGCACGUCCUGCGUGCCACUCUAUCGCCAUCUUGGUCUUGCUGACGUCACUCACGCGACGACCCGCCGUCUUGGCUUCGAGGGACACGUCACUCACGCGUCAUCCCUCUGCCAUCCUCGUCUCCACCGCUAUCUCUCUCUCUCUCUCACACACAUACACACACACACACACUCCUGUAUAUAUGCACACCUAUGUAUAGAUAUACUCUUGCUGCUGUACCUGUGUUAUCUUUAGUUAAUAGUUAA